UACGUGAGGGGCGAACGUUGUUCGGUGUCACUGGGCUUAAAGGGUGCGUAGGCGGCUGUACAAGUAAGGUGUGAAAGCCCUCGGCUUACCCGGGGAACUGCGCCUUAAACUGUACGGCUUGAGGGCCACAGGGGUUGGAGGAACUCCAGGUGUAGCGGUGAAAUGCGUAGAUAUCUGGGGGAAGGCCGGUAGCGAAGGCGUCCAACUGGGUGGUACCUGACGCUGAGGCACGAAAGCGUGGGGAG
rnacentral:rRNA from 1 species